rnacentral:rRNA from 1 species
ACGCGAAGAACCUUACCUGGGGCUUGACAUCUCGGGAAUCCACUGGAAACAGGGGAGUGCCCUUCGGGGAACCCGAUGACAGGUGCUGCAUGGCUGUCGUCAGCUCGUGUCGUGAGGUGUUGGGUUAAGUCCCGCAACGAGCGCAACCCUCACCUUAGUUGCUACCAGUUCGGCUGGGCACUNUAAGGGAACUGCCAGCGAUAAGCCGGAGGAAGGUGAGGAUGACGUCAAGUCCUCAUGGCCCUUAUGCCCAGGGCUACACACGUGCUACAAUGGUCGGUACAAAGGGCCGCGAAGCCGCGAGGUGGAGCCAAUCCCAGAAAGCCGGCCUCAGUCGAUUGGAGUCUGCAACUCGACUCCAUGAAGGUGAAUCGCUAUAAUCGCGAUCAGCAUGCCGCCGGUG